rnacentral:rRNA from 1 species
UACGGGGGGGGCAAGCGUUGUUCGGAAUUACUGGGCGUAAAGGGUUCGUAGGUGGCCAAUUAAGUCAGACGUGAAAUCCCUCAGCUCAACUGGGGAACUGCGUCUGAGACUGGAUGGCUUGAGUGCAGGAGAGGAACGCGGAAUUCCAGGUGUAGCGGUGAAAUGCGUAGAUAUCUGGAGGAACACCGGUGGCGAAGGCGGCGUUCUGGACUGCAACUGACGCUGAGACGCGAAAGCGUGGGGAGCGAACCGG